rnacentral:lncRNA from 1 species
AAGACGCAAUUGGCCCAGUUGGCCCAAUUGUAGUCGGACGGCGACCAUGUGAGCCUCAGAAUUAUCACACCUCGCUUAACUUGGGAGGAGGAAGCCACUUUAAAAGGGAGAGCCACCCUUCCCCCAUUGGACUAGUCUUUUGGGGGCGAUUGAGCCUUUCCCUGAGUUGGGUGUGCUUAAUGAACUGUUGGGCUGCGGGCAACCCUAAUUUGUUGGUCCUCGGCCAACCCCACCUAGGCUGGAUGUAUCAUAUGGUAUCAAAGCUAGGGCCCAUUUUAAGAAGGUGGGAAUGAUGAGGACAUCCUCCACUAUUACCUGUUGGCAAAGACGCAAUUGGUCUAGUUGGCCCAAUUGUAGUAGGACGGUGACCGUGUGAGCCUCAGAAUUAUCCCACAUCGCUUAACUUGGGAGGAGGAAGCCACUUUAAAAGGGAGAGCCACCCUUCCCCAUUGGACUAGUUGUUUGGGGCGAUUGGGCCUUUCCCUGAGUUGGGUGUGCUUAAUGAACUGUUGGGCUCCGGGCAACCCUAACUUGUUGGGCCUCGGCCAACCCCACCUGGACUGGGUGUAUCAUCUGGUACCAAAGCUAGGGCCCAUUUUAAGAAGGUGGGAAUGAUGAGGACAUCCUCCACUAUUACUCGUUGGCAAAAGCGCAACUGGCCCAGUUGGCCCAAUUGUAGUCGGACGGUGACCGUGUGAGCCUCAGAAUUAUCCCACCUCACUUAACUUGGGAGGAGGAAGCCACUUUAAAAGGGAGAGACACCUUCCCCCAUUGGACUAGUCUUUUGGGGUGAUUGGGCCUUUCCCUGAGUUGUGUGUGCUUAAU